AAACACAUACUGAAACUUUUUAGUCCCUGUGUAAUAAG
rnacentral:misc_RNA from 1 species